rnacentral:rRNA from 1 species
UAUUGGACAAUGGGCGAAAGCCUGAUCCAGCCAUGCCGCGUGUGUGAAGAAGGUCUUCGGAUUGUAAAGCACUUUAAGUUGGGAGGAAGGGCAUUAACCUAAUACGUUAGUGUUUUGACGUUACCGACAGAAUAAGCACCGGCUAACUCUGUGCCAGCAGCCGCGGUAAUACAGAGGGUGCAAGCGUUAAUCGGAAUUACUGGGCGUAAAGCGCGCGUAGGUGGUUUGUUAAGUUGGAUGUGAAAUCCCCGGGCUCAACCUGGGAACUGCAUUCAAAACUGACUGACUAGAGUAUGGUAGAGGGUGGUGGAAUUUCCUGUGUAGCGGUGAAAUGCGUAGAUAUAGGAAGGAACACCAGUGGCGAAGGCGACCACCUGGACUAAUACUGACACUGAGUGCGAAA